rnacentral:lncRNA from 1 species
UCAGUGUGUACAUGGCUUUGCCCUUCAUAUGGUAGGAAAAGCACUGGCCUGGGAAUUGGGAAAUCUGAGUUCUAGUCUGGGUUCUGCCCCUGACAACCAUGAUCACCUUGAGCAAGUACUUUAAUGUCUACGCAGUAAUGGCCCAGGCGCUGCCUCUCUCUGGAUAAUUUUGAGAUUCAAAGGAGAAAACCUAUAGAAUGGAGCUUGGAAAGUAGAAAUCGCUCUAAAGAUAUGAGCCCUGCAUUUCUGAAUGCCUUGAAAGAAAAACCAGCAAGUUGGGAGGGCUGUGUCUCCUUAUCGUCUUCCAGGAAUUCAAAACCGUGAUUUCCAGUUUCCAAAUGCAACUCAAACUCCAUCACCCUGUACAUCUUGCACGGUUUCUCCAGCAUAUUCUGAUCACCACCUCCAGACCCUUCUGAUAGAUUCAUUACCUGAAUCUGUUUGGUAACUAAUCAUCUGCUGUAUUUAUAUUCAUGGGACCCACAUUUUGACUCUGAGCUACUCCAGGAGUAGAGGAUGUGGCUUCCAUUGUUCUUAUGUCUUCACAGGGCCAAGGAGAUGAGAACCAUCUAUGCAUUAUUCACGCAUUUAUUCCUUAACUAUGUAUUCAGCACCUGCUCUCUGCUAGGACUCAUUCUAGCUACUAAACUUACAGAGAUGAAUAUAGGGCUCCUGAGUUUGAGAGCUCUCAGCCUAGUGAGAGAAUCAGACGUGUAGGCAUGUAAUGAUCAUACAGUGCAACAAACAUGCUUCAGAAGUGCAAGCAAAAUGAGUUCUCUGAGAACACUGAGGAGCGGAGGAGAGACUCCAAGGGAAUGGCAGUGAGAUUGUGUGCCAAAGCUUCUCAAUAAAUAUUUGUUCAUUAAUUAGGAGAGGAGUACACUUCUUUAGGGAUUA